UCAGGUUGUUUUAUGCAUGACUUGAUGCAUUCUCAAAGAAAUUUCAGAAACAUUUUUUUUUUUUUGUUAUCAAAAAUAUUUCUGAAAUUUCUUUGAGAAUGCAUCAAGUUAUGCUUAAAACAACCUGAUAUGGCAUUAGAACUUUUACUCUGAGACCCCAAGUAUGAUGUUCCUUAGCCCUUGAAGGUUAACCAAGACAUAUUUGGUGUAGGUCUUGAUCAUUUUUGUCUAGCCAGACACACAAAACAUUUCGUAGGAGAAUUCAUACGUUUACGCUCCUGUUUUGGUCUCUGAUGCUGCUUUAAUCGAACUCAUUGAAGGCUGAAGAAGACAAUACAAGGUGCCAGAGACGCUAAUGGCCGCCGCUCAUUAUUUUCUGUAAAUAAGAUCCCACACACAGCAAAAGAAGUUUGUGAUAGAGAUGUAUCAGUCAGAGUAAUUUAAUUAUGUAUGAUUGAUCUUAAACUCUAUGAUGUGAAAUAACAUUCCUGGAGGAGCCCAUUGAUGUCCUACACCAGCUACUUAUUAUCAACAAUUGCCGCAGCAAUCAUUCGUAGGACAAAUUUCAGUGGAUUUGCGUAUCCCAAUCGGGACUAUUCCCCAUUUCCCCUAGUCAGGUCAGGUUUAGGGUCCAAUUACCUUAGUAGUACAUGUUGCAAAUACUUGUAACCCCUUCUACUGGUGAAUUUAGGUUAUAGAACAGGUGCAAUCACUACCUACUUUGGUCCACAUUGUAAAAUCACAUUUAUGUGGAAAAAAAAUAAUUAAGGAGUGUAUUUAUCUAACA